AAGUAAAAUUAGUUGCGAUUUCAUUACAUGAGUUGAAAUUUGUUGACAUAGUCAUGUAAUGCAUACAUUUUAUGGGUACAUGUCAUGUAAUACUUAAUAGCAAGUUAGUUAGCAACUUCAUUUAUCGAUGCACUAUGUUAAUUGCAUGAUGGUGGUUUACUAGUUGUAUUUUAUGAGUCUUUAGGGUGUUGGGAAUGUUGUGAGUUUGACAUACAAAUACGGAACUUCAA
rnacentral:lncRNA from 1 species